AGGGGGGAUACCUAGUCAUUUUUUCCGUCUUCAUUGCGUGCCAUCAUCAUUCUCAAAGCCGCAGUUUACUUCUAAGAUCACUUUAGCACCGCCCUAAAAACCCGAUUCAAACUCGACACAAACUUUCAAAUAGGUAUGUAAUGACACAUUAUAUAAACUCUUUAUAGUGUUUUAUUUAAAAUUUUUAGAGGCGAUAAGUUCCCACACGACAUCUGUCCUUCUCACUAUCACGCAUUAGUUUCGCUUCCCCACCCGCCAUAAAAAAAAAAAAGAAGACCCGAAGGGGCUCAUUGAUUGAAUUAUGCAGAAACGGGCAGUGUUUAGGUCCUGUAAUUGAUUUUGUUGGAAAGGAGAGAAAUCGUGCAUUGCAAUGGUAUUGACAUUACAGUCUAUCUGGAAGUAUUACGUUUUUGGGGAACUAAAAUAAGGGCAAUUGUAGGGACCAAGGCGAAGUACGAGUUUACGUUAGUCAGUUAACGUUAUUUCUGGUUUUGUAGGUAAAGCAAGGCAGGCUAGCUAACGUUAGCUAGCUAGCUGUUAGCCUACAACUCGGAUUUGCAAGUUUGUUCGUAUGUCAUAAAAGUGUAUUGUCUUGGGCAAAACUAAAUAAUGGAUGCAGCUAUGGUGGUAGCUAACUCACGUCUGAGUCUGACUAAUACAGUGAAGUAGGAGCAACAAACCAUAACGGCGUCUAGAGAUGCAGUUGGUCUACAUCUGUAAAGCAUAGAAUUAGCUUGACCCGCGUUACUACCCUGAUGACACAGACGUCUUCAUCAACAACAGUAAUGUGUGUUAUGUAAAAAGUUGUAUAAAAAAUACCUGGUUUCAUAAACUAGUAGGUUAAUUACCCAGCCAAGCAGAUUCAAGUAGUAGAGUCAUUUUGGUUGAGAAGUGCAUUAUCAAAACGCCUCGUCCAUUCUUUAUAACAAAAUGCAAUUUACCACUUGGCUGUCUAUUGUAUCAUCCUGUCACAAGCUCUUUCAGUCAACAACACCUAAUGAGGAAUUACAUUGUUUAUGAGGAUUGCCUGCUGCAGUUGUUCGAGAGAUGUCUUGUUUGUAGCUGAACAUUCAACAUAGAGAAGACCAGCAAGGGGACCCUCAGCAUCACACAGACAUGCCCUCGCUGUGAGCAUUCCUAUAAAUGGAACAGGGAGGACACUUGAAUCAGGUUGGAGUUUCGAGUUUUGUCCCAAUUCACCUUCAUAACCUAGCCUGGUGGAAUCAGUCUGAUUGCUGCGUUUACCACAUGAUAUCUGAAGUGAAACAGAAAGUUGAAUACAGUGAUGAGGUUGGUUCCACCAUGCUAAUCAGAAGCACCAUUGAUAAUGUAAUCAGUGCUCUGUGUGUGUGUGAACGAUCAGUAUCUUUGAUGAGGGGCCAGUAAUGGGCCGCUGGCAAAGACCUUACCUCUAGCCUUAACUCUUGCCUGCUCACCAAUGGUCCACAAUGUGGAGGUCAGAAUUAGGUAGGUUUAGUCUAACUGCCAUUGGUAAUAGAACUGUGACUGUGUAUGUGUUCACGAUACAGAACCAUGACUGUAUGUGUUCACAAUACGUUUAUGGAGCCUGCACCUGGAGACUUGCAAGAUGAUGUGAUGGAAUCCUGACCGACAGACAGGCUUGAUACUGACUUCGCUGAAUGGAGAGACACCUGGCACUCAACACAUCCACAAUGUGGUUCUGAAGAUGAAGAGUACUAAAGAUGCUUUUGCCAGACGCCAGCCUCGGUCGUUUGAUAGAGGGACCAUAAUUGGAAACAUGUAUAGAGACAGCACAUGGAAACUUGCAAGAUGUGAUGAAGUCCAGACUGACAGACGGGCUUAAUACUGAUGCCUCCAAAUGGAGAGAGACCUGACACGGCAUUAAAGUUUUACUACACACAACUUGUACUUCUAUUGUUUUUAAAAAUGAUUUAAUAGAAUGGUAUCAGUCAAUAUGGGGAGGGAGAAACCUUGUGUAUUCUGCACCAGGAUCAGGGAACUCCGGUUGUAUACUGAACACCACACAGGAAGAUAUGACAACUCUGACAUGUUUGCCAAGGUAACCCAUUCACCACCAGACAAAAUGCCAAUAGGCACAGUAUCUGUAUCGGCUGGGAAUGACAAUGGAAGCUGAAAGCUGCACAUUGUUAUAUUAGCAGAACUAUGGUAUUAGGGAAUGGGUUGUUUAUUCUACAUGGAUCUGUUACUACAUUUGAAAGUUAUCAAAACUCUUAGCUUAGAAUAUCUACAUAAUUCAGCAAUUGCAUUCUCAUAUUACUCCGUAGGCUACUGACCUAUUCAAAGCUUCCUCUGGCAUCUCACCAUACAUCUGCCUGGAGUUAUUGAACUCAACCUGCAAGAGGGUUGUUUGAUGGAUGCUACCAUGACUACAGAUAAUCCUGAAUAAAUUGUGAAUAACGAUGAGUGAGAAAGUAACAGACGCACAAGUAUCAUACUUCCAAGACAUGCUGACAUCUCACCAUUACAAUAACAGCGGAGGUUAGCAUUUUUGGGGGGUAUGACAUUUGUGCGUCUGUAACGUUCCCAGCUGGCAAUGAGGAAUCGGCCCAGGAGCGGUCCUCUUCCGGGGAACCGGAACUGAUUGGAUUGGCUCGGAACAGCGUGAUGGGACAAGGACAUCCCAAACCCCCAUAACUCGGACGACGCUGGGCCAAUUGUGCAUCGCCUCAUGGGUCUCCCGGUCGCGGCCGGCAUGGGUAUCGAACUAGCAUCUGUAGCAACGCAAUUUGCAAUGCAGUGCUGUGUCUUAGACCGCUGCGCCACUCAUAUUAAAAUUCUACUUAAACAGGACUCUUAACACAAAAUGUUAAUUGUAUUUUUUGAUCACAGAAACAAUAGUUAAAUAAAAAACAGAAAAUAUGGAAUAAAUAAAUGUUAAAUAAAGCAGCCGUGUAAUGAUCUGCAUUUGGAUAACUCACACCGGAAUCAGUCCGAGCUCAAUCCCCGCAUAAGUAAUACCAGCCAUAAGUAAUACUGCCUAAGGUGGCCCAGAUCCACUGUGCUAGCUGGGUUCUCACUCAUCAUUAUUCAUAGUACAUUCAGGAUUUUCCAUAAUCAUGGUAACAUCCACAUUAAUGUGUAAGUGUUUAGAAGCAUAUUCUGUUCUUAUUUACAAUAAAAGUGACCCCAAAAUGACUACAUUAUUUAGUGUUCAUUUCUGUUGGGCACAAGAUAAUCUGAAACACAACCAAAACAAACAGUAAAUGCAUCCAACAAAUUUGCAGAGGCACAAGCUUGAUGUAGUCAUUGCAUGCUAUGAAUAUGGGACCAAAUACUGAACUUUUUACUACUUUAAUGCACAUAAGUGAAUUUGUCCAAAUACUUUUGGACCCCUAAAAUGGGGGGGGGGGGACUAUGUACAAAAAGGGUUGUAAUUUCUAAACGGUUCACCCGAUAUGGAUGAAAAUACCCUCAAAUUAAAUCUGACAGUCUGGACUUUAACCUCAUAGUCAUUGUUUGAUUUUAAAUUUAGAGCCAAAAUGAAGAAAAAAUGCUUCACUGUCCAAUUAAUUACAGAGGGCACUGUAUAUUGAGGCAAAAAAAUGGACAGUAGCCAAAUAGUUAAAUGAAACUCAAUUGAAUGAACAUGAAAUAUCAUUGAAAGACAGUAUAUAGGCCUAUGUAGCCUACACUGUAGGUAGGCUUUUUUAUCCUUAGCUUGUUUGUAACAAUGGCAAAGACUUUGGCAUCUUUGUAUUUGUAGUCCACUUCAUUGUGAAGUUGAAUUUGGUGAUGAAUUUGAAAUUAAAAUCAAUAUUCACAAUUAUUUGUGUUCUUAUUUGUUGAUGUGACAAUGUGACAACGUACCCAACUUAAGUGUGACAAUUUACCCGCUGAUGGGGCAAAUUGUCACAAGUGCACACUUUCUAUUUAACGGUCUACAACUCCAUACUGAAA
ensembl:lncRNA